AUUGAACGCUGGCGGAAUGCUUUACACAUGCAAGUCGAGCGGCAGCGCGGGGGCAACCCUGGCGGCGAGCGGCGAACGGGUGAGUAACAUAUCGGAACGUACCCAGUCGUGGGGGAUAACUAUCCGAAAGGAUAGCUAAUACCGCAUACGUCCUGAGGGAGAAAGCGGGGGAUCGCAAGACCUCGCGCGAUUGGAGCGGCCGAUAUCGGAUUAGCUAGUUGGUGGGGUAAAGGCUCACCAAGGCGACGAUCCGUAGCGGGUCUGAGAGGAUGAUCAGCCACACUGGAACUGAGACACGGUCCAGACUCCUACAGGAGGCAGCAGUGGGGAAUAUUGGACAAUGGGGGCAACCCUGAUCCAGCCAUGCCGCGUGUGUGAAGAAGGCC
rnacentral:rRNA from 1 species